GACGAACGCUGGCGGCGUGCUUAACACAUGCAAGUCGAACGGAAAGGCCCUGCUUUUGUGGGGUGCUCGAGUGGCGAACGGGUGAGUAACACGUGAGUAACCUGCCCUUGACUUUGGGAUAACUUCAGGAAACUGGGGCUAAUACCGGAUAGGAGCUCCUGCUGCAUGGUGGGGGUUGGAAAGUUUCGGCGGUUGGGGAUGGACUCGCGGCUUAUCAGCUUGUUGGUGGGGUAGUGGCUUACCAAGGCUUUGAUGGGUAGCCGGCCUGAGAGGGUGACCGGCCACAUUGGGACUGAGAUACGGCCCAGACUCCUACGGGAGACAGCAGUGGGGAAUAUUGCACAAUGGGCGGAAGCCUGAUGCAGCAACGCCGCGUGCGGGAUGACGGCCUUCGGGUUGUAAACCGCUUUCGCCUGUGACGAAGCGUGAGUGACGGUAAUGGGUAAAGAAGCACCGGCUAACUACGUG
rnacentral:rRNA from 1 species